GGCGACAUAGCCAAGCGGUAAGGCAUGGGUCUGCAACACCUUGAUCACCAGUUCAAAUCUGGUUGUCGCCU
rnacentral:tRNA from 1 species